rnacentral:rRNA from 1 species
GUCCACGCCGUAAACGAUGAGUGCUAGGUGCUGUGGGUAUUGACCCCCGCGGUGCCGCAGCCAACGCGUUAAGCACUCCGCCUGGGGAGUACGGCCGCAAGGCUAAAACUCAAAGGAAUUGACGGGGGCCCGCACAAGCGGUGGAGCAUGUGGUUCAAUUCGACGCAACGCGCAGAACCUUACCUGGGUUAAAUCCACUCGAACCUUGUAGAGAUACAGGGGUGCUCUUCGGAGAGCGAGUGAGAAGGUGCUGCAUGGCUGUCGU